GGCUCAGUUGGUAGAGCAUGGCACUUGCAAUUCUAAAUUCUAGAGUUGUGGGUUCAUUUCCCAC
rnacentral:tRNA from 1 species